GGUAUCAUGACCGAGUGGUCCAAGGUGUUAGACUUAAGAUCUAAUCCGCGUAAGCGGGCGUGGGUUCGAACCCCACUGAUAUCA
rfam:Rhizopus oryzae RA 99-880 supercont3.7 genomic scaffold, whole genome shotgun sequence.